rnacentral:misc_RNA from 1 species
CGCAUUCAAUGCCUGAUCACCAAAGUGAGUGCCAUUCAGUUGCCUACGUGUCUGAAGUAAUUCAAGAUGCCAAUCAGUCUUGUUUUUAAAUGCAUUCUCCAAUAGAAUUGCUUCUUGAUCAUGGGCUCUGGCUGUUUGGCUAAGGAUGGACCUUUUAGAUGUGUAAGUCAAGUGACUUGAAAAUGUGAAUGUCCUAAAUAGAUGGACUUUAUCAUUUAUAUCAUGAUUAUGCACAGUGAUUGUGUAAAUCAUUUAACGGUUUAAACUAACUGAUUGAAGCAUCCAAAGUAGUUAUUUAAUAAGUGUUACUGGCAUUUCUAUCACUACUUAAGCUCAUAGUGCGGUGCCAUUUAGGUUCAUAGCUUCUAGAUGAACCUUUCAGGUUGUUUACCCUGCCUCUCUUUCUGUGUUCUGAAGGACAUGCAGUACUUGUAGACUAUACAUAAUCACUGAAACAUUGAAAGGAGAUUCCUACAUAUAUUUUUUUUUUCAAUUCUGAUCAUUGUAUAAAUGCUGCCCUUCAACUUCAGUAGGGACAGGUGGAAUGGUACA